UUUAACAAAAACAUGUCCUUUUGAGUUUAAUUUAAGGUCGGGCCUGCCCCCUGAUGUAUAUUAAAGGGCCGCGGUAUUUUGACCGUGCAAAGGUAGCAUAAUCAUUAGUCUUUUAAUUGAAGGCUGGAAUGAAUGGUUUGACGAAAUAUUAACUGUCUCUAUAUAAUAGAUAAAAUUUAACUUCUGAGUUAAAAGGCUUAGAUAAUUAUAAAAGACGAGAAGACCCUAUAGAUCUUUAUACAUGAAUAUGUUUAUUUUGUUUAGGUGUAAUUUUAAUAGAUAUAUUAAUGUAUUUUGUUGGGGUGACAUGAAGAUAAAAUUAACUCUUUAUUAUUAGUACAUUGAUUUAUGAAUGAUUGAUCCGCUACUAGCGAUUGUAAGAUAAAGUUACCUUAGGGAUAACAGCGUAAUUUUUUUUGAGAGUUCUUAUCGACAAAAAAGAUUGCGACCUCGA
rnacentral:rRNA from 1 species